AGAACAAGAAGAAAACAAAAGUCAGUUCACAAAAAGCCUUUUCCCACUUCCCUCCCUCUUUUUUUUUCUUUUUUUUUUUCUUUCUCUCUUCACAUUUUCAAGAUUGUCAC
rnacentral:ribozyme from 1 species